GUUCGGUGAGGAGUGACAAUGACAAGCAUAUGGCUGAGGCUCCCUGAUGCCACUUUAUUACUGAGAGC
ensembl:snoRNA SNORD27 Small nucleolar RNA SNORD27